CCGUAGUUAAUGUUGUGUCUAGGAUAAAUUUAUUUCAUGUUGCUAUGUCCAGUCGAAUUUAAUGUUGCUGAUUAAAUGUGUCUCAAAGUUGCUUUAAUUAACGAAUUUAAUGUGCAGAUGCAUGCUUGGAUGGCAUUAAUGGUGCUGAUGACGUCUCCUAUUUCCAAGCAUGGGACGACACUAAAGUGGCUGCUGCAUUCUUCUUCCUAUUCAAAGGACGGCAUUAAAGGAGCUGUUGAUUUAGUUUUUCCCAAACACCUUUUUCGUGCACAGCAAAGGACACAUGAAUGUGGACUUGCAUUCAAGAUGAAGGCUGUUGAUUGCUAUUCUCCAAGCACCUUUUUCGUGGAGAGAAAUGGCAUGCCUUGCACUCUAAACCAUUUAGCUUGC
rnacentral:lncRNA from 1 species